GGGUAGUGUGGCCAGGAUAACGUAGCCAUUCUCAGAGGCUGAGCUCUGGAGUCUCUCCUUCAUUUGGGAAGUGGUGUGGAGUUACUGUUUUUUUGAAGCAGCAACAGGAUCCACGCUUCUUACUCCAGCUUAGGAGGUGGUGAGAGUAACAGGCCACAGCAGUGACCAUAAGCAUGGACAGGAGGCUGCAGAGGAGAGCCAUGAGCCUGCAGGAGAAGCAGUGUUGUGAGGGCCCUGGGGGGCCAAUGGUGCGGGUAUAGCUCCGAACCCGGGCUGGGGCCAUCUGCAGGAGCAGUGAGCCAGGAAGAUAUGUGCCAAGUUGGACAUACUGAAUCUGAAGUGUCAGAGGAACAGAGAGGCCAACGUUUCCCCCCAAGUGUCCUCCGGGAGGUCUGUCACCAGAGAGAGCCAUCCCGGGAGCAGGUGCUUUACUAGGCAGCUUCCUUCAGAUCAUAAGGACACUGAGAGGAAGUGGGCACACUGGGACAGCUGUUGGCGAUUUCCUCCCAAGCUCCAACACACGCCCACUGGGCUGUCCCCUGACCCAGGCGGAUCCAAGUGCAGCACCGCCUCCCAUCACCUCCACGACUGGUCCACGCUGGGCAGGGUCCUUGGCUAAGGAAUCAAGUUCCCUGCAAACAUCUUCAGUGGAGGCUCAAAGGGCAAAGGUUUUUCAUCUGAAAAGAUCCGAGUCUAGAGCAUGUUCCUGGCCAUCAAAUGCUGCCCUUUUUUGGAAGGAGAGGAUGAAACCAAUUUUCAGAGUCGGCAAAGAGGAGAACCUGGCAGUCCCGGUGGAGAUCCAGCCCUGAACCCAGCCAGCUCUGAGGCCCGGCCUUUCCUCCACUGGGCUCCAGGAGCUAAUAGAGCCCCUUUUUGGAUGAAGCAAGUUCAAGCUGAGUUUCCAUCACUUGCAACUUAAGGAGUUCUGAGGGGUGUCAUAUUGCCAUCCCAAUUUUACUGAGAGAGGAACUGAUGCUCAGAGAAGUUAGCUAAGUCCUGUGUGAUCACAAGAACACUUUAGAGCACAAGCUUUGGAACCUGAGUCUGCGUGGACUCCAUAGCCAGCGUUCUUUUCUUUAUACCAUUUGCCUCUCAACUAGUCCCACAACCGGGGCGCUCAAGAGAAGAGACACUACUGCACCGGACAAGCAAGUCGACAAGAAGGGAGAGACUGAGCAACUUUCCCAAGGUUACACGCAGGAAAGAACAACGCCUUGGCUUUGAACCCAGACAGUUCAACCCCAGAGGCCCCAUGCCUUACCAGCAUUUUACUCAGCAAAUCCGGCAAUGAAAUACGGGUAUUG
ensembl:lncRNA